ACUGUACACAUGUAUAUUUAGCUUCUGAUACAGACAAAUUUUUACCGGUUGAUUGCAAUCGAAUGUGUAAACAGUGCUGCGUCAAUUCUAGCGAUGUUAAUCGCAUGUAAAGUUUUCAUCAAUAUAAUGAGCACAUGUAAAUUAUUACAGCGUCGAUGCUACGAUCUGCUUUCAUACAAAUAUUCAUUGUUGGUGAUAUUAAUAGCGUUUACCUGUAUAUUUAUCGGCAUCAUUCAUUUCGGUGAGAUAUGGAUAGCUUGGAGUAAAGGAAAAUACGAAGCUAUAUUUCAUUCUUUUAAUGAUAAUAUAUUAGGUAUUUCUUUUCAACAAAAAUUAUGUCAACAUGUCCCUAUAGAUGUUGUAUAUACAUGGGUAAAUGGCUCAGAUCCUGUUUUUUUAAAGAAUCUGAAGAAACAUGUUCCUAUUAUGGAUGUUAAUACUGCAGCUUCUAGAUUUAAUGAUAAAGACGAAUUAAGAUAUUCCUUACGUUCCUUAGAAAUGUAUGCACCAUGGGUUAGACAUGUAUAUAUCGUUACCAAUGGUCAGAUACCUAGUUGGUUAGAUAUGGAUAACCCUAGACUUACUCUUAUUACUCACGAAGAUAUCUUUUUAAAUAAAAGUGAUCUUCCUACAUUUUCUAGUCCUGCUAUUGAAAGUCAUAUACAUAGAAUUCCUGGAAUCUCAGAUAAAUUUUUGUAUUUUAACGAUGAUGUAAUGUUAGGAGCUGAAGUGUGGCCAGAAGAUUUUGUUACUCAAGUAGGUGGCCAAAAAGUGUACCUUGCAUGGUGGGUUCCUGACUGCUCUGAUGUUUGUCCUUGGGCCUGGGUAGGCGAUGGAUCAUGUGAUCCAGCUUGUAACACAACAUUAUGUGAAUUUGAUGGAGGAGAUUGUGAUAGCACAACAGUUCCUACUGACAGUGAAGCACUUGAGGAAGAAGGAGAUUAUCCACAUAAGUUUUUACAAGAUGUUCAAGAAAAUGCUAACUAUGGGUUGAAACUUUUUAGCAUAUUAGGAAACAGAAGUAUAAAUUCUGUAUGGAAUAACACAGAAACAUUUACCCAACAAACAUUGGCAAGUGAAGCCAAGGAAUUAAAGUUCAAUGUAAAUAAAUCUUAUAGUUUCAAAAAUAAUAACCAUAUAAACGAUAUUGAAGUGAAUUUCAAUGAACAAUUCAAUGAAAAUAAUCAAACUACAUCCACUCAAAAAUCAAUACUGUCAAAAGUAAUGAAUAGAAUUAAAUUCCAAAGUUCUGGUAACAUUGAUAAACGUGUACACCUGAAACAUUAUUUAAACAAUAAUGAUAUGAGUUUAACACUAAUGAAUAGUACUGCAAAAACAAAUAAUAAACCUAAUUAUUCUGAUCAUUGGAAACAUAGAAGACAGCUAGAUACAUAUGCAGAAUCUUUACUUUAUGUAAAUAGAAUAUAUAACAUAGCAUAUGGUUUUGAACGUAGAAAAGUACCCGCUCACAUGCCUCAUUUAAUAGAUAAAUGGAUCGCCACUGAUAUGCAGACAAAGUUUGAGCAUGAAUUUAAGAAAACGUCUAGUCAUAAAGUUAGGAAUUCCGAAGAUAUGCAGUUUGCUUUUUCGUAUUUCUAUUUCCUGACGAGUGAGAAACGAAAGAUUCCAAUUGGAGAGAUUUUUGAUAGAUUUGACACAGAUAAAUCUGGAACUUGGUCGGAUAGAGAAAUCAGAACACUUUUAUCUAGACUGUAUCCACUACCUCUUGAUUAUAGCCUAGUCGUAGAAUUUGAAAAUAUAAUAACAAAUUGUUCAAAUCACAUAAAUGUCGCGGAAAUAUCAAAUCCACCGCCUGGAGAAAGAUAUUUAGAUUCAUCUCUCCCAAUUGUAUCAAAGGAGUUAAUAGCAAGUUGUGAACCAAUUUCGAGAAAAAUUCUGGCCAAGUUUGGCGAAGGGAAGCUUUAUCCGCAUGAAAUAAUUAAAGCUGGCAAAAAUGAAAUAUUUGAAAUGUUGACCAGCAAUGUAUCUCUGACUGUACAACUCUUGGAUGAAAUACGAAGGGAUCCAAAGAAAUUUAUAUGUUUGAACGAUGACAUGGACCCUCUUCGACGCUCCGAGAAUGAAAUUGUUCGUGCAUUGUUAAAUGAUUUUUAUCGCUCGCUUUACCCACUGCGUAGCACCUUCGAAUUACCUUUACAAUAUCGAAAUCUAUUUGCUCAUCGACACGAACUUUUUGAAUGGAGAGCUAAUAGAACGAAAGCUAGAAAUUUAUUGUUGUGUCUUAUCGUCUUGUUGCUUGUUACAACUCUUUAUCAUUUGUUUUAUCAUCAGAUACGACGGUUAUUCAGAGUGCGCACAUUGCCCACUUUACUCGUUUAAAUUCUAAGGACUAAAUAUGUAUAAAUACGCAAAAUGAACUGACAAAAAAUACACUUAGGUGCAACGUAGGCUUCUUUUGGAUAAGAACAAAUGUAAACAACGAGUGAUGGAAUUUUUUUUUUCUUAGUUUACAAUUUUCCACAGGAAGCCUACUAUACCUGGUGCUGUACAUCUGUAUCUUCCGUGACAGGGCAAUGUCUUCUAAAAGAUUUUAUAAAGAAUAACGUAUGCGUUGCAAUUUUGUUGUCAGACAACUUACAAUCCUUGAAGACUUAAGAUAUACCAAAUUUGUACUUAUUGAAAUGUUAAAUACGAAUCAAUGUGAAAUAUACCGAAUUUUUUUAAUUCAACUUU
rnacentral:misc_RNA from 1 species